rnacentral:rRNA from 1 species
CUCGUGUCGUGAGAUGUUCGGUUAAGUCCGCUAACGAGCGCAACCCUCGCUGUGUGUUAUAUGUGUCGACACGGGACUGCCGGUCUUAAGCCGGAGGAAGUGGGGAUGAUGUCAAGUCAGCAUGGCCUUUAUAUCCUGGGCUACACACACGCUACAAUGGCCAACACAAUAGGUUGCUAAGCCGCGAGGUGGCGCCAAUCCAUAAAGUUGGUCUCAGUUCAGAUUGUAGGCUGCAACCCGCCUGCAUGAAGAUGGAGUUGCUAGUAACCGCAGGUCAGCUAUACUGCGGUGAAUACGUUCCCGGGGCUU